UACGAAGGGGGCUAGCGUUGCUCGGAAUCACUGGGCGUAAAGCGCACGUAGGCGGAUUGCUAAGUCAGGGGUGAAAUCCUGGAGCUCAACUCCAGAACUGCCUUUGAUACUGGCGACCUUGAGUCCGGGAGAGGUGAGUGGAAUUCCGAGUGUAGAGGUGAAAUUCGUAGAUAUUCGGAGGAACACCAGUGGCGAAGGCGGCUCACUGGUCCGGUACUGACGCUGAGGUGCGAAAGCGUGGGGAGCAAACAGGG
rnacentral:rRNA from 1 species